rnacentral:lncRNA from 1 species
CUUUACUUUCAGAUUACGACGAAUGCAAUCCUGCAGUGUCUGUCCACACGCCUGAUUGUGGUAACAAUGCAACAUGUGUCAACACAAAUACAAGUUAUGACUGUAUCUGUGAUGCAGGAUUUAUUCAAAAUGGUACCGGAUGUAGUAGUAAGUAUGAACAUCCUUGGUAUCCCACGGAAAUUGUGUGUACAUGCAUGUUCCUUUUACAAAUUAAUAGAAUUCUAAAAUUAUGCUAAUGUGAUAUUGUACGAAAAUCGUCAGGUCACGUGAACAUUUUUCGCUUUUGAUGACGUCCACAUGUGGUGAAAACUUGGUCAUGCUUCCAAAAAAAUAUCGUUAUCAUUAUGAGGCCACUCAUAUGUAAAGUAAAGUCACCUCAUUAAAUCAAAAUCCUCCAUCCCGUUAUAUCACAUAUAUAUAACUAGAAAUACAUGCAUGCAGCAACCCCUCGCCUAUGUUUUCCAAACAUUGACUUACAUGAAGUACUGUAUUAGUAAUUGAUCAACGCUGAACGCAGGCUCGCGUUUACGACAGUGUUGUCAUGGCAACACGACAAUCUUAAUUAAAUUUUAUAUUUUUUUGAAAAAGACGCCAAAAAUAAUUGAAAGAUUAUUGCUUUUAAUUAUAUAACAAUCAAUUUCCGAAUUAUAUACUGCUGGUAUGUUAUUUUGCUUUUUGUGAGCUUUCAUUUAAUAUAAAAUUUAAACUGAAUCGCUUCGUAAAAUGUUUUGAAAUGUACAUUUUGAUAACUAAACUGCUUUUGUCGUGUUUGCCGAUGAACUGUUUUUAACACAUAUAAGUUCAAAUUGUGGAGUAAUUUCAGUUAGGUCUUCAAAUUAAUUUGUUCUCCUUUACAUUUUACCUUUUUUUCUUGAAUUAAACAGGGUAAUUUAGGAAACUUACAGCUUGACUGAAAGAGAAAGCUGCAUAUGUACUUUUAAUACGCAAGAAAUUAUUAAAAGCAACAAAAUUUAUAACAAUAACAUUCAAAGCAAACUUGCACCAUAUUUCACGAUUCCCAUAGUAAAUCAAUUCUUCUCAUUUCUUCAAACAAAAAUUGCUUCAAAGCUCAUUGUAUGAAACGUGAUUUUCCAAAUAUAUGCUUUUGAAAAUUGAAAUCUUGCUUAUCCCACUCCUAGCAAACAGCCAUAUUUUUAAGAUCAGUGAGGAGGUCCACCCAUGAACCAUAGUCACGCGCCCGCUAUAAUUGAUGAACUUUAGACUUCGCUAAUGCUUUCCUUUCUCCGGGUGUAAAUAGCCGGGGGGAAUUAGUACCCUCGCACGGCGCUUCGCGCCGUCGGCUCGGGUAUAAUAUACAUAAAGGUAUUACUCGACUGUGAUUGGUUGAUUUCGGUGCAGUUAAUUCCGAACAGCAGUGCAAUUUUCUGUAAAUUAUUGAAAAUUCCACUCAGUUUUCUGUAAAUUAUUGAAAAUUCCACUAAUAGAACGCUCAAUAAAUAAUGUUUCAACCUGGCUACGCAUCUUCUAUUUUUUCAAGUGUACGUUUUGUUAGUUUAGGUCAAGGUAAAAGGCUUUUCCAUUUAGAAAUAAAGAUAAAAGCCAUAUUUUCCACGUGAAGUCAACUUUUACUUUAUGUAUCGCGGCUCCAUGUUCGUUUUGUUUUGAAGCAAACUGUGACCGCUACUUCUUUAAACUAAACUAGUUCCUUGAUUUUAUCAUCACAAUGUUUUUCCACCAAUCAGUCAGUUUGUUACAGAUUUUUGCACUGUUGUUACAGACUUUUGCACUGCUGUUUGUGAUUAACUGCACUGGAAUCAACCAAUCACAGUCGAGUAAUAUUUUUAUGUAUAUCUUAUUAUGGCAUUAAUAGAACUCCUAUUCGUUCUAUUACCAUAUAUCAUUAAUUGCACUGACCAGGAGUGGAAUUAAUCGGAUUUGAAAAAAAACCCUGGCUCGUUUUGUAAAUACGAACGAAUCUACAAUUUACUUAGUUCUAACAAAACUAGCAGAAAAUGAAAGCACACAAAAAAUGACUGACCUAAACUCUCUUGCUGACUAACAACAUUUUGAACUUGAACUUUGUUGACGGACUUUUGAAUUUUAUUGACGAAUCAAGAACUUGCGAUAGUUUUUUAUGUGCUUCGCUUGGACAUUUUGAAUAAAUAUUUGAACUUUACAUCUUAACCAUUUAUUGAUAAGGAAGACUAAGCUAUUUUAUUAUCGCUAAUUUGUGUGUGAACAUAUAUAACUUUUUAAAAUCGAAGCAAUGGCUCGAGGUUUUAAAUUUACAGUGUAAUAUGUUAAGUUGUACUUUUUAAUACAGUAUGCAGGUGUUUCUGUAGGCACAGUAAGUUUAAAGUUGUUAUAUUACCCGCUAACUAAUUCAGUUGUUUGGAAUUGCUUCGUGCUGCAAUAUAUAUACAGCUAUAUUUCAACUAAGGUUGUCCCCUGAGUAAAGCGGAAAAGUCGAAUACGAGCGCGAAAGGCUGCUGGGAAUCGCUAAUAAAUGAAUGAAUUUAUUAGCGAUUCUCAGCAGCCUUUCGCGCUCGUAUAUUCAACUUUUUCGUUUUUUCUCGGGGGACAACCUUAAUUGAAAUAGCCGUAUGUAGUAAUAAUAUAGCUAACUUACUUGUUCAAUAUGCCCCAGUGGCGGUCUGUAUACGAAACUAAGGAGAGAAUAUAAACCUUAUUCUGUGAUAGAAUAUAAACGGUUUAUGUUUGCAAUAUUGAAGUGUAUUUCCGGUCUGCGCUGAUUGGUUAUUAUUAAUUGACCUCAAUCUCGUUCCCCGAGCCUGCGAUUCUCGGGAAGGAACGCGAAGCACAGGGAUAAUCCGUUGCCGAAAGCCAGGAAUUGUGGCUAAGAUUGAACUACGCAUUCCAUUUCAACGGCCAAUCAGAAUUCUCCCUGUAACGGAUUAUCCCAGAGCCUCGGGUUCCUUCCCGAGGAUGCGAAGCUCGGGGAACGGGAUUGUAAUUGACCUGUGACACCCUAAUUGAAAGGCGGCACGCAAUCAUCAUAGGGAGGGGUCCUUGCAGGCUUUCUUUCUCCUAGAGAGCCUGCUCGUGGGCUAUCUUAAAUAAGUUUUUCCCACAAGCGUAGAAAAAAAGUCAAAAAAGGUUUGCGAUUUAAAACAUCGCGUAAUAUAAUUUAUUGUUUACUAUCGAAGCUAUAUUUCAACGGGUUAUGUAUUAAUAAUAUGCAAAGUUAGUAAGGAAGUAGAAUAAUCAUGUCCGUGAUUUCUGGCUAUGACAAAGUAAUUUUUGUCUGUGUUUUUUUGGGAGGAAAGCAUCACUUGUAUUGCCACACGGAGGUGCGACGAGAGCAUAAAAUGAAGCGAACUAAAAACAAAUUUGUCGGAUGUCGGUUGCUAUUUUCAAUUAAAUAACUAACUACAUAGUCAUUUUCUUGAAAUAAACUCCAAACCUCUGUUAAUAUUCUAUAUGAAAUUUGUUGCAGAGUGGAUUCACUGACCAAGAAAUAAAUUAAAGUUUUACAACUAGAAAUACAUGCAUGCAACAACCACUCGCCAAUAUUUUCCAAACAUUGUUUCAACAUGAAGUAUUCGUAAUUACUCCAACACUGAACGGAUGCUCGCGUUGCUCACGUCAUGUAAUCAUGUUAGCCAUGGCAACACGAUAACUGUUUUUAAACGUUUUGUACAAAACAGCAAAAAAAUAAAUGAAACUUGAACGCUUUAAAUACGGAACUAUCAAUUUCUAAAGUAUAUAAAGCAGGUAUAUUAUUUUGCUUUCUAUGGGCUUUAUUUUAAUGUACAAUUCAACACGAAACACUUCGUAAAACGUCUUUAAAUGUGAAUUGAAAUUACCUUAUUUUUUGCCGAUAAACUCUUCAACUCGAACUUCAACUUAAUACUCGCACUUUCAAAUGAAAUAAAUUUAAAUCAUACAGGACACUAAUGAAAAUAUUUGCUUUCCGUUUUAUCAUGAACUUCUACAAAAGUUAAUUUAACAGUAAGAACCUUUCGCAUGCAAUGCAUAGCCAUAGGAAAGACUUGAACAACAAAAACAAAGUAUAUAAUAAUACAAAGUCAUACAUAAACAACUGAAACAUACUUGCCUUAUGCUUUAGGAUUUAUCAUACUAAAUCAAUGCUUAAUGUUUACGUUUAAAAAUUGUAAAAAAGUUUUACAUUUUGUUAUGUGAAACGAUUUUCCAAGCUUUCUUCGUGGCUUUCUUACAUGUUUUUAUGUUUUUGCCUCCUUCACUCCUGGCAAACAGCUAUGUUUUGAGAUCAGUGAGAAGACCACCCACACACCAUGCGCCCGCGAUACUUGAUGAACUUUUAAACUUCGCUAGUGCGCUCCUUUACUCGGAUGUAAAUAGUCGGGCGGAAUUAGUACCCUCGCCCCGGGCUUACGCCCGGAACGGCGCUCCGCGCCGUUGGCUGGGGGAUUAAAAUUUUGCAAAUGUUUCAGACUUUGCGCCUUGCCCUAGCUCACGCGAUCAUGUUUAUUCAUUUUUACAAAUGCACAUAUCAUGAGACGGUCGAGAUGUUUGGAAAAUCUAUUACAGCAAAACAUUAAGAAAAAAUCAAGAGAGAAAACGGAAUGUUAUUAAGAAUAUUAGCUACAAAGUAUGUUAGGACCCCCGCACAGUCGCCAAUAUUUUCGGGAAAUUUCUUUUAUGUUGGACAAUUCAUGGAAUUAGCUCCCUCCCCCCUCCUUUACUCGAAGGAAAAAAUAAAUUUGUUUUUCCAUCACUGCGCUGUAAUGGUAACUUUUUUGGGGUAUAAAUGUGGACAAUAUUGCGUUGCCGUGUCAACCGUACAAAUUAGAAUUAUCAAAAUUAUUGCAUUAUAGUGUUGAGCGCAUAUCGUGUGGAGCUUUCGACAGUUGAGAAUUGUAUAUGCAAGAUUAAAGCUGAUAAUCAUUUAUAUGUUAAUUGAUUUUUUAUGAUUGUAGACAUUGAUGAAUGUGAUGGUAAUACUGACAACUGUAGCGGUAAUGCUACAUGCCAAGACACAGAGGGUUCAUUUGAAUGUAUCUGCAAUGCUGGAUAUACUGGGAAUGGAGUUACCUGUCAAAGUA